rnacentral:rRNA from 1 species
UACGUAGGGUGCGAGCGUUGUCCGGAAUUACUGGGCGUAAAGAGCUCGUAGGCGGUUUGUCGCGUUGUUCGUGAAAACUCACAACUCAAUUGUGGGCGUGCGGGCGAUACGGGCAGACUGGAGUACUGCAGGGGAGACUGGAAUUCCUGGUGUAGCGGUGAAAUGCGCAGAUAUCGGGAGGAACACCGGUGGCGAAGGCGGUUCUCUGGGCCUUACCUGACGCUGAGGAGCGAAAGCGUGGGGAGCGAACAGG